AUUGAACGCUGGCGGCAUGCCUUACACAUGCAAGUCGAACGGCAGCACGGGUGCUUGCACCUGGUGGCGAGUGGCGAGCGGGUAAGUAAUACAUCGGAACGUACCUUAUCGUGGGGGAUAACGCAGCGAAAGCUGUGCUAAUACCGCAUACGCCCUGAGGGGGAAAGCGGGGGAUCGAAAGACCUCGCGCGAUUAGAGCGGCCGAUGCCUGAUUAGCUUGUUGGUGGGGUAAAAGCCCACCAAGGCGACGAUCAGUAGCUGGUAUGAGAGGACGAUCAGCCACACUGGGACUGAGACACGGCCCAGACGCCGACGGGAGGAAGCAGUGGGGAAUUUUGGACAAUGGGGGCAACCCUGAUCCAGCAAUGCCGCGUAAGUGAAGAAGGCCUUCGGGUUGUAAAGCUCUUUUGUCAGGGAAGAAACACCGGCUCUAACACAGUCCGGGAAUGACGGUACCUGAAGAAUAAGCACCGGCUAACUACGUGCCAGCCGCCGCAGUAA
rnacentral:rRNA from 1 species